CUCAGUGCAAGCCGUCCCGUACGGUGAAACCGCGAAAGGCUCAGUAAAUCAGUUAUGGUUCCUUAGAUUGUACCCACAUUACGUUACUUGGAUAACUGUGGUAAUUCUAGAGCUAAUACAUGCCGACAGAGUUCCGACCAGCGCCGGGCGUGCGGUUCGCCGUCGCUCGGUGUUCGGAAGGGACGCUCUUAUUAGAUCAAAACCGGCCAAACGGUCGUGCGCGUUUCGACGCACUCGGCUGUAAGCGGCCCGCGCAAAGACUUGACGACUCUGAAUAAUUUCGAGCUGAUCGCACGGUCUUUUGUACCGGCGACGUAUCUUUCAAAUGUCUGCCUUAUCAACUGUCGACGGUAGGUUCGAUGCCUACCGUGGUGGUAACGGGUAACGGGGAAUCAGGGUUCGAUUCCGGAGAGGGAGCCUGAGAAACGGCUACCACAUCCAAGGAAGGCAGCAGGCGCGCAAAUUACCCACUCCCAGCUCGGGGAGGUAG
rnacentral:rRNA from 1 species